rnacentral:rRNA from 1 species
GAUGAACGCUGGCGGCGUGCCUAAUACAUGCAAGUCGAGCGAAUGGAUUAAGAGCUUGCUCUUAUGAAGUUAGCGGCGGACGGGUGAGUAACACGUGGGUAACCUGCCCAUAAGACUGGGAUAACUCCGGGAAACCGGGGCUAAUACCGGAUAACAUUUUGAACCGCAUGGUUCGAAAUUGAAAGGCGGCUUCGGCUGUCACUUAUGGAUGGACCCGCGUCGCAUUAGCUAGUUGGUGAGGUAACGGCUCACCAAGGCAACGAUGCGUAGCCGACCUGAGAGGUUGACCGGCCACACUGGGACUGAGACACGGCCCAGACUCCUACGGGAGGCAGCAGUAGGGAAUCUUCCACAAUGGACGAAAGUCUGAUGGAGCAACGCCGCGUGAGCGAUGAAGGCCUUCGGGUCGUAAAGCUCUGUUGUUAGGGAAGAACAAGUAUUGGAGUAACUGCCGGUACCUUGACGGUACCUAACCAGAAAGCCACGGCUAACUACGUGCCAGCCGCCGCCGUAA